AGUGAACGCUGGCGGUAGGCCUAACACAUGCAAGUCGAACGGCAGCACAGUAAGAGCUUGCGCUUACGGGUGGCGAGUGGCGGACGGGUGAGGAAUACAUCGGAAUCUACUUUUUCGUGGGGGAUAACGUAGGGAAACUUACGCUAAUACCGCAUACGACCUACGGGUGAAAGCAGGGGAUCUUCGCACCUUGCGCGAUUGAAUGAGCCGAUGUCGGAUUAGCUAGUUGGCGGGGUAAAGGCCCACCAAGUCGGCGAUCCGUAGCUGGUCUGAGAGGAUGGUCGGCCACACGGGAGGUGGGACGCGGUCCAGGCGCCUGCGGGAGGCAGCAGUGGGGAAUAUUGGACAGUAGGCGGAAACCUGGUCCAGCCAUACCGCGUGGGUGAAGAAGGCCUUCGGGUUGUAAAGCCCUUUUGUUGGGAGAGAAAAGCAGCAGGUUAAUACGCCGCUGUUCUGACGGUACCCAGAGAAUAAGCACCGGCUAACUUCGUG
rnacentral:rRNA from 1 species